GUGAAUUUAGUUUAAUAGAAAAAACAUUUGCUUUGCAAGUAAAAUUUAAAGGUUUAAAUCCUUUAAUUUACA
rnacentral:tRNA from 1 species